GACGAACGCUGGCGGCGUGCUUAACACAUGCCAGUCGAACGGAAAGGCCCUGCUUUUGUGGGGUGCUCGAUUGGCGAACGGGUGAGUAACACGUGAGUAACCUGCCCUUGACUUUGGGAUAACUUCAGGAAACAGGGGCUAAUACCGGAUAGGAGAUCCUGCUCCAUGGGGGGCGUUGGAAAGUUACGGCGGUUGGGGAUGGACUCGCAGGUUAUCAGCUUGUUGGUGGGGUAGGUGCUUACCAAGGCUUUGACGGGUAGCCGGCCUGAGAGGGUGAACGGCCACCUGGGGCCUGAGAUACGGCCCAGACGCCUACGGGAGGCAGCAGUGGGGAAUAUUGCACAAUGGGCGGAAGCCUGAGGCAGCAACGCCGCGUGCGGGAUGACGGCCUUCGGGUUGUAAACCGCUUUCGCCUGUAACGAAGCGUGAGUGACGGUAAUGGGUAAAGAAGCACCGGCUAACUACGUG
rnacentral:rRNA from 1 species